rnacentral:misc_RNA from 1 species
GCAAGCCAGAUCUAAGGUUCGACUCGUAUAAUAAUUUCCUAUUUUUAUUUGUUAUCAUAUGUCGUCUUUCCUCGGCCCUAGCAAAGGCAAAACACAAAUCCACAUUAUCUUCAAGCCAUACGACGAGUCAUUAUUACUUAACCACUACCAGUACCACUGAUAAUUCUGUGCUAGCUACAUUCAUGAGAGCACAAGACUUGCUCCUGCCCCGCCCCUCAUUGUUUUCUUGAAUACGUGCCAACAGUCUCUAUCAAACCGUCCAGUCUCUGGAAAUUGUCAUCUUUCAAUUGAAUAGGAAAGAUCUCCAAUUCAGUGUGUCAAGUUCUCCACAAGCAAGCAUGUGAAUCAUUUUCAGAGAUGCUUCCUUUCAUUUUUCUCAUGCAUCUUACAAAGUAAUUGUGCGCUUCCAGCUCCCGUGUAGGCCAACUGGGUUACACAACCAAUGCUGGCUAAUACAGUUUGCACAAAUAGUGACAACUUACAUCUGAGCAUUGCUUGGGCUAACAACAGAGUGAAAAAAAAUCUAUAACGCGACCUGAAACUACAAGUUCUUGUAUAUCACAAUUGUCGGUAGAUCAACUAACAAAUUUAGCACCACCACCAACACAACUAGCAAUCAGCUUACAUUAAUCCUUUAAUUACAAUCUACAUCCCAAAAAAAAAAAAGAAAAAGAAAAAAAGAAACUAGAGAUCGGAAUUCAUAAAUGAGUUACUUGUCACCAAACCAAUUCAUCUACUUGGAUGUUUUGUAUUCCCUCUGGCUCUCAAUAGAAACCUUCUUCCUUGUUUCAAAAUCAACCGUGCAGAGAUCAACAGCCAUUCCAAGAUAGCCAUAUAAAAUCCUUUUUUUCUCCCCAUUCCGUUCUACCUUCACAAGGUU